rnacentral:rRNA from 1 species
UACGUAGGUGGCAAGCGUUGUCCGGAUUUAUUGGGCGUAAAGCGCGCGCAGGCGGUUCGUUAAGUCCGAGGUGAAAUCUCCUGGCCCAACUGGGAGAGGUCUUCGGAUACUGGCGGGCUCGAGGAGAGCAGAGGUGAGUGGAAUUCUUGGUGUAGUGGUGAAAUGCGUAGAUAUCAAGAGGAACACCAGUGGCGAAGGCGGCUCACUGGGCUCUGCCUGACGCUGAGGCGCGAAAGCGUGGGGAGCGAACCGG